rnacentral:rRNA from 1 species
GCGAGCAGCGUGCUGGCAGGCGGGGGAGGACUGAGGGGGCGAGCGUGGGCCGGAAUGAUGGUGCGUAAAUGGCGCGGAGGCGGGGUGUCGCGGCGGGAGUGAAAACUCAGGGCGUAACCCUGAGCCUGCUUCCGAUACGGGCAGACUAGAGGUAUGCAGGGGAGAACGGAAUUCCUGGUGUAGCGGUGAAAUGCGCAGAUAUCAGGAGGAACACCGGUGGCGAAGGCGGUUCGCUGGGCAUUACCUGACGCUGAGGAGCGAAAGUGUGGGGAGCGAACAGGAUUAGAUACCCUUGUAGUC